rnacentral:snRNA from 1 species
GGACGUGAAGGGGAGCCAGCUGUAACAUCUCUCACCCUACUGAUUUCCAGGGUUGAUUUGGAUGAUCUGGCUGGCUUGGCUGGCUAGCCAGGUGCUCCUUCCUCCUCACCCCUCCAUGCGCGUCCCCCAUGAAAUGGGCACUCAGUCUAAGAGAAUGGCUUUCUCUUACAGAGUAAAACCAUUCUUCGAUCAAGGGUAUGUGAGUAUUUGCACCCCCUUGCUAGGACCUCUAAACAAGCUCUCAGAAAUGGAAGUAGGGCUGGAGAGAUGGCUCAGUGAUUAAGAAGAUUUGUGUGCAAUCGUUAGGACUAGAGUUCAGGACCAGCACCUAUGUGA